GCAUUCUCCACAAGCAUGUUCAACAAUGAAUUCACGUUUUAAACAUGCAAAGAGAUGAUCGAGAUGAGAGGACUUUCCUCAAAAAAAAUUGAGGCAGAAGGUUUUUUUGAGGCAGAAGGAAAGUGCCGACAUGGUUUAGCGAUUUAGACUUAGACUAAGCACUGCACCCAUACUGUAGGUGUUCGGUGGCUGCAUUGCUCGUGGUUUUUGAGGAAGCUUAAAAAGUGGACCUUGCUCAAAUAGAUGAGAGGUGCAGCCCGCAAGUGGGCUGCUCUUCUGGGCCAAAUAAGCCCAUUGUUGGAUAUUGCUUGUGACUCGCUAAAACAUUGCGUGCUUGCAUGACUAUCGAAUAACCCAACUUACAUUUUCAACUCAUUUAUUGGUGGCAAAAAUGUUUAGAACUUUUAUUCAGUCAAUCUGAUAUAUAAUAUAUGCUCUUUCAGAACUAUCUUGUAUAAACUCGUUCUAUUUAUUUAUCUUAAAUAAUUUAAAUUGCAUUUUAAUCUGGAGUGCAAAUUGAACAUUAAUUAGAUGGUCAAAGGUGAUUUGAAAAUGGGAGCCUUAACCCAAUUUUGUGUUUGUUCCUGCCCUGAAAGUUCUUCUACCUUACUUUCCCCACAUAACAAAACAACUGAAGAUGAGACGAGAAAUUUCUGUAUAAUAUAUCUCUGAACUAUGCAAAAAUUAGUAGGCAUGAAAGCAGUCGAAGACUCCUAGGAUAUGGGUAGAGUUGUUGUUAUUCAUCAAGUUACAUAUUGCUGAAGGAAAUUUUUAAAGUUUAGAAAAAAGAUAAGGCCCCUGUUAACCAGAGCUUGGAUUUGGAUCCUAACCGAGCACAUUAUUUUCAAGCAUGGACUAUUUUGGAUGUUACGUGAUCUUUUUGAAGGAUGUAGAGACAAAUGCAUGCCUUUUCCAUUUUGAUUCUUUUUUACAGUUUUCCUUUGAAUUUCUUUUACAAGCUCUAGAUUACUCCUACCCCGCAUUGUAAGAAACUCGUCCGCUAGAUAGUUUUGUAGGGAUGCUCAGCAUUUUUGGUGCCGUAGAGAUGAACGCCAUUUAAGGCUGAAGGAAAUGGAUUUUUUUUUUUUGGUUUCAUUGCGCCUCUUUUUUUUGUAAUUACUAUAGUUGUGAUAUUACUGGUAUUAUCUAGAGGGCCUAAAUUUUGCUUUGUCAUUGUUUGACGCGCUUUAUAGGAGACCCAGUGCAGCAUUGAAGAUCUCCAGCGGAUGUUGGAUGAAAUGGCCCAGAGUUUCGCCCCAACUCAACCUCCUACCUAUUGCUUCGGCGGCAAAGGGGCUUCUACAAACCCCAAGAGACCUGCCACCUAUUGCUUUGGCGGCAGAGGGGCUUCUACAAUCCCCAAGAGACCUGCUACCUAUUGCUUCGACGGCAGAGGAGCUUCUACAAACCCGAAGAGGCACUGCGACAGAAAUGAUGCAACGACCAGGUGGUGGUCGAGUUCGCAUGUGUCUGGGGUUGAUAUGUUCGGGCACGCUUCGUUUUGCUAAGAUUUCUG
rnacentral:lncRNA from 1 species